rnacentral:rRNA from 1 species
UCCGUAGGGUGCGAGCGUUAAUCGGAAUUACUGGGCGUAAAGCGUGCGCAGGCGGUUUCACAAGCUCGAUGUGAAAGCCCCGGGCUUAACCUGGGAAUGGCAUUGAGGACUGUGGAGCUUGAGUGCGGCAGAGGGAGGUGGAAUUCCACGUGUAGCAGUGAAAUGCGUAGAGAUGUGGAGGAACACCGAUGGCGAAGGCAGCCUCCUGGGCCGACACUGACGCUCAUGCACGAAAGCGUGGGGAGCAAACAGG